rnacentral:rRNA from 1 species
AGUGAACGCUGGCGGUAGGCCUAACACAUGCAAGUCGAACGGCAGCACAGUAAGAGCUUGCUCUUACGGGUGGCGAGUGGCGGACGGGUGAGGAAUACAUCGGAAUCUACUUUUUCGUGGGGGAUAACGUAGGGAAACUUACGCUAAUACCGCAUACGACCUACGGGUGAAAGCAGGGGAUCUUCGGACCUUGCGCGAUUGAAUGAGCCGAUGUCGGAUUAGCUAGUUGGCGGGGUAAAGGCCCACCAAGGCGACGAUCCGUAGCUGGUCUGAGAGGAUGAUCAGCCACACUGAAACUGAGACACGGUCCAGACUCCUACGGGAGGCAGCAGUGGGGAAUAUUGGACAAUGGGCGCAAGCCUGAUCCAGCCAUACCGCGUGGGUGAAGAAGGCCUUCGGGUUGUAAAGCCCUUUUGUUGGGAAAGAAAAGCAGCAGGUUAAUACCCCGCUGUUCUGACGGUACCCAAAGAAUAAGCACCGGCUAACUUCGU